rnacentral:misc_RNA from 1 species
UUGAGGAUGGAGGCCUUGCCC